rnacentral:lncRNA from 1 species
ACAAAGUCCAGCAGUCAACCGCAAGAGGUCUGGGGCACAGAGGAAUGGCUGAAAAGUGCUACAUACUCAGCUGGUGAUGGGGUCCCUGGGAGCAUUUAAAGGACUUCAAUGGGCCAUAGAGAAUAAGGGAAGAGCCCAGAGCAGAGCCUCAGGAUGCCAUUACCCCAGAGAGAAACACAAAGAAUGAAGUCCCUGUGCUGGACCUCAGGGCAGAGCCAAAAGGGCUCCAAGAGUGUGCCAUCAGCAAAGCCAGGGAAGGGAUUCCAGGAAGGGAGCCUGAGGAGCAGCAACAGACCCUGCAGGUUACGUUCAAGUCUUAGCUUAUCAUGAAGACUUUCCAAACCACCCCAGUUCUGUGUCCUCUAAGGGCAGAACUCAAGCCUGUGAAGAAUGGUUCAACGUGGAGAGAAAGUAUCAGCAAGCCAAUCAACUGCAGGUUUCUAUAACAGCCCAAACCAGGGAGGUCUGGGUCCAAAUUCCAACAGUAAUAAUAAACAGAAGGCACUGUAUAUGGCAGAAUUGGGAUGUGGUUACUGACUGGUGAAAAUACGUAAUAACAGUAUAGUGUCUUCUGUGCCAGGCACCACCCUGAGCACUUU